rnacentral:rRNA from 1 species
AUUGAACGCUGGCGGCAUGCCUUACACAUGCAAGUCGAACGGUAACGGGCCUUCGGGUGCCGACGAGUGGCGCACGGGUGAGUAAUACAUCGGAACGUGCCCGAUCGUGGGGGAUAACGAGGCGAAAGCUUUGCUAAUACCGCAUACGAUCUACGGAUGAAAGCAGGGGACCGCAAGGCCUUGCGCGGAUGGAGCGGCCGAUGGCAGAUUAGGUAGUUGGGGGGAUAAAAGCUUACCAAGCCGACGAUCUGUAGCUGGUCUGAGAGGAUGAUCAGCCACACUGGGACUGAGACACGGCCCAGACUCCUACGGGAGGCAGCAGUGGGGAAUUUUGGACAAUGGGCGCAAGCCUGAUCCAGCCAUGCCGCGUGCAGGAUGAAGGCCUUCGGGUUGUAAACUGCUUUUGUACGGAACGAAAAGCCUUCUUUUAAUACAGGAGGGUCAUGACGGUACCGUAAGAAUAAGCACCGGCUAACUACGUG